rnacentral:rRNA from 1 species
UGGGGAAUUUUGGACAAUGGGGGAAACCCCUGAUCCAGCCAUCCCGCGUGUGCGAUGAAGGCCUUCGGGUUGUAAAGCACUUUUGGCAGGAAAGAAACGUCGCGGGUUAAUACCCCCGCGAAACUGACGGUACCUGCAGAAUAAGCACCGGCUAACUACGUGCCAGCAGCCGCGGUAAUACGUAGGGUGCAAGCGUUAAUCGGAAUUACUGGGCGUAAAGCGUGCGCAGGCGGUUCGGAAAGAAAGAUGUGAAAUCCCAGAGCUUAACUUUGGGAACUGCAUUUUUUAACUACCGGGCUAGAGUGUGUCAGAGGGAGGUGGAAUUCCGCGUGUAGCAUGAAAUGCGUAGAUAUGCGGAGGAACACCCGGAUGGCGAAGGCAGCCUCCUGGGAUAACACUGACGCUCAUGCACGAAAGCGUGGGGAG